rnacentral:rRNA from 1 species
AGGUCGACGAUUUCCGUAGGUGAACCUGCGGAAGGAU